GUGAAUCAUCGAAUCUUUGAACGCAAAUUGCACUCUCUGGUAUUCCGGAGAGUAUGCCUGUUUGAGGGUCAGCUCACAUACAAAUCGGUGUGGUUGCUUCCUUUCGUGGUCACGCACCAGAUGUGGGUCGUCUUGCCUUCGGUUAGGUGACCUUUAAUUUUGCAUGAUUUUUUCGAACGUAUUUAAAUGAUUUUACGUAC
rnacentral:misc_RNA from 1 species